CCUACGGGUGGCAGCAGUAGGGAAUUUUGCGCAAUGGGCGAAAGCCUGACGCAGCAACGCCGCGUGAUUGAUUAAGCCCUUCGGGGUGUAAAGAUCUGUCAGUGGGGACGAAACUUGACGGUACCCACAGAGGAAGCACCGGCUAACUCCGUGCCAGCAGCCGCGGUAAUACGGAGGGUGCAAGCGUUGUCCGGAAUCAUUGGGCGUAAAGAGUUCGUAGGUGGCAUAUUAAGUCUGGUGUUAAAUGCAGAAGCUCAACUUCUGUUCGGCACUGGAUACUGGUAAGCUUGAAUGCGGUAGAGGUAAAGGGAAUUCCUGGUGUAGCGGUGAAAUGCGUAGAUAUCAGGAGGAACUCCGAUUGCGAAGGCAGCUUACUAAACUGCCACUGACAUUGAUGCUCGAAAGUGUGGGUAUCAAACAGGAUUAGAUACCCCUGUAGUC
rnacentral:rRNA from 1 species